rnacentral:rRNA from 1 species
UCAUUUGUCUAUUAAUUGUAGACCUGUAUGAAAGGCAAAAUGAGAGCCCAACUGUCUCUUGUAACAAAUCAAUUAAACUGAUCUCCUAGUACAAAAGCUAGAAUACUAACAUAAGACCAGAAGACCCUGUGAAGCUUUAACUAACCUACUAAACCAAAUAAUAGCUACUUUAGGUUGGGGCGACCUUGGAAUAAAAAAGAACUUCCAACCUAUGACUUUCUCAUAAAUAAGGCAAACAAGCCAACACAAGACCCAGCACUGCUGAUAAUCGAAACAAGUUACUCCAGGGAUAACAGCGCUAUCUUCUUUAAGAGCCCAUAUCAAAAAGAAGGUUUACGACCUCGAUGUUGGAUCAGGACACCCCAGUAGUGCAACCGCUACUAAAGGUUCGUUUGUUCAACGAUUAAUAGUCCU